rnacentral:lncRNA from 1 species
GGGGCGUUGGCCAACUGACAGGAACUCAGGUCGUUGCCUGAACAAACAGAUCUCCAAACUUCUCCAACAUUUUAGGAGUAAGAUUUUUAAACUGUUUUGUGUCAAAUAUGUUGUCAUCCAAGACUGGGAGUUCAUUUUCUCCUUUGUGUAUUAUGUACUUCAAAAACGAUGGUAUUCGCCAUAAAGCAUGUGGCCUAAUGCAGCAUUCAUGACUUCUUUUCUUUUUUUUCUUUUCCUGAAUAUUAUUAGCCUGGCAAUGAUUAGUAAAAUGCUGUAGCAGACAAUAGAUUGAAUUAAGAUAACAGAUUACCGAGUCUCAGAUUUCAAUAAAGAAGGGUCUCUCAGCUAUGCCAGUCUGCCAAGAGGUGCCAUUGUGCUUGUUUUUAAAAUAUGAAGUGAAAAAGACACUUUUGAAAAAAGAAAAUACAGGGAGAAAUACCAGCAUACAGGUUUGGGGAGUAAGCAAAGCAGAACAAGGGCAGGAUUGAACCAAGCCAGAAACCAGGCAGGAGCUCCCCUCCAGGGUAGAUGUUGCCACAGUUCUGUUUUCCUGAUGAAAUCUGAAUUUUCCAAGGAAGUCCAAAUGGUGGCACAGAUGUGACAGUUGGUGCUGUUCGAAGGACACAGUGUCACAGGGCUGCUCUGACACUGGGACAGACCUGUUCAUUUUCUGGCUACUUUUCAUGCCAAAUUUCUUCGGUCCUUGUGUUUGUCUCCCAGUUUUUCUGACAUAGAAGCAGAAAUUCCUCUUGAGCGUCGUUACCUCAGGUCCCCGGGCUUGUGACAGACGUUCUGUCUUCUGGAGGUUUCUGAAACACUUAGGAAAAGGUACUGUGAACUCAUGGAUCCUGCAGGAGCAAGGCAGGGUUGGAUAAAGCAGGGAUUAGUUGUGUUAUCCCUCUCUGCUCUUCCUGAUGCCCUCACAGGCUCUGACCUUUCCUGAGAACUCCCACUGCCUGCUCAGAAUCCAGAAAUUUACCAUAGCAAGGAAAAUCUGAAGAAUCCAGCCAGGACUUUAAUAUCUUUUUAGAGACAGAUGUUAUUUAUAUAAUAUUUUUCACAAGAUCUGGUUUUCUAGAGAACAUGUAUCAACAGAAGGAGAGGCAUUAGAGCUGCUUCUCUUUCACUUGUUUUUGACAGCAACUGUAAUCCCAACACCCACGUUGGGAUUACACCAAGAUUCCCAAAAGGCAAAUUGAAAAUUGCACUGCACUGAAACUGGGCUGGAAGUUUUGGGAGCUGUAAUUAAAAAUUGCACUGCACUGAAGCUGGGCUGGAAGUUUUGGGAGCUGUGUUUCCAUCCCUGUGCUCAAGUCCCAGAUGGUUCCAGGGCAGCCCCAUUCCUGCUGGGAGGGGCACAGUUUGCCAUAUAAAAUUUCCAAGGGAUUUUCUGGGAUCAAACAGGACUUAACUGGCUCCUAGGAAAAUUCUGUCAUUAUUCAGGCAUCUGGAUGCUUUUGUGUACCUUUGAGUGACCAGAGCAGGGUGGUGGGAUUCCAGGACAGCCAUUUCACCUACCAGCCAGGCUCAGUGCUCUGAGCAAGGCUGGCACAUAUGUGAGAAGGAGAAAGCACAUUCCCAUGAUAAAAUAGUUCUUCUUCGUCCUGUUUGGAGCAGAACUGCAAUUUAGCUUUCUGAUUCUUCAUUCUUUUCAGAAAUACAAUUGAAUUUCCUUUUACAAACUGAAGAAAAUUCUUCUGGAAAUCAGCUGUUAGUUUAAAAAAACUCAUCACGUCUGAAUGCUGCUGGCCUUUGAAAUCCAUCCUGUCUUUUGGGGUGAAUCCAAUUCAGUAAUGCUGGGCUUCAAUAAAAUUAAUAAGGUCGAGCAAGAGAGGAACUUGUCUCCUAGCUGGAAAGAUGACACAUCCAAGGGUGGAGUGGUACCAGUUGAAAAGUGUUUUCUGAGCCAGUGCCUCUGGAUAUAAUCCCAGUUAAAUGCCAUAGGAGACACAUGCAGUGAGCAGGGGGGCAGAUCCUCCUUACUGUGCAAAGCAUAGCAUUGGAAAUAAUAAUAAUAAUAAUAAUCCAAUAAUAAAGCUUUGACACAAGUAGAAAGCAUAUCUACAGUAUAUUGAGUUUACAGUAGGCUUUGGACCUGCCAGGAAACUUCUGGAAAUAUUUAAUGUGAUUUUCUUUUAGUCAUUAGCACAAGUUAUUGUACAUAGGGGUUUUGUCUCGUUGCAGACGUGAGUGUGGGCUGUGUUUGAUGUGUCCCCUCUGUAGGUGGGCACUGAGCUGCCAAGUAGUCAAAAAGUAGACAAGCUAAAAAGCACUUUUUUCCCUCAGCCCCUCACACUGAAAUAGCUGAGCUGGCAGAAAUAAGUAAGAUUUGACUCCAUAAACAUGCACGAUUCCCUCACUGUGCCAGUAACAAUUGGGAAUUAAACAGCCUUAUCAUGAAUAAUGAUCAUGCACUACAGCCCUCCUGUUCCCAGGAAAUCCUGGAGAGGGAGAGGCCCCUUGUUAACCUCUGCCUCACUUACCUCACCUGCAGAAUGGGGUAAUAAUACUGAGUGACCCCACAGGGAGGGCUGAGGACUUCUUAGGCGAUGUUUCUAAUUCACUUUUAACCUGAAAAGAGUUGUGUAAGUAUUAUUAUAAUUUUUAAUAUUAAAUCAGCUUCUUGGAUUCACAUGGUACUGCUGGCUAUACCAUGCUGUUUCUACUUUUUUGUAGAAUUUUAGUAACUCUGCUGAAACCGUUUGAAGAGAAAUAAAAUCAGAUCUGAUACAUUUCUUACAGAAUCUGGAGUGCAGCUUUUGUACCCGGAGUCAGAGUGUGACAGGAGUGAUGCUUGCUGAUCGUGUGGGUCAGCUGCACUUAGCUCUUUUCCAGCUACUGAGAUUUUUAUGUGCAAUUUAAAAAUUCUAUGUGGAUGGAAGUCUUAGCAGAACUGAAAAUUGGAGGGGGAGAUUCCCUUUGGGUAAAUAAAGUCAGCACAGCUUUUUUUCUAGUUUUUACUGACUCCUGCUGAAGGAGGAGCUCUGUUCUUUGUGCAGCUGGUUUGUCCAUGACAGCUCGAUAUUUUCUGUUGAUAUUUUAAUGUAUUUCUGUGUUGUAAAUGUGUCUGUGUGCUUCUUUUUUUAUCCUUGUCUGUGACACCAUAGUUCAAAUUUUUAAAAAAACUGCUCCAGAAGCUGUUUUUUUUCCUUCCACUGAUGUCAGUUGACCUAAAUAAAUAAAUUAAGUCUGUUAAUGAUUUGAAACAGUGCAGGAUGAGCAGCAACAACAUUGACACAGCUGCCAUUGAAGCUCAUUUCUCACUGGUUACAUUGGACACUCUGCAGCUGAUGUUUCAUUAGUUUCAUAAUUAUUAAUGACAGGAACGUUUUAAUAGAAAGCAAGAUGAUGUUCAUGAUCAUUACAAACAUUUUCCUGAGAACUAUUUGAAUUUCUUUUCCUUCUCUCUGAACCCCUUGAGGUGACACUGUCCAGGGUUCCUUCCAGAGCUUCACACACUCCUGGCUUAAAAAUCUUAAAAUUAACAAACAAAACCACUACAGCUUCCAAGGCACCCAGGGAACCACAGAGCCCCCUGGGUGCUGAGUGCUUGGCCAAUAGCCCCAAUUCACUGAAAAUAUUAAUUAUAGUAUGGGUUUGUACCCACUGUUGGCCUUGGAGUAUAAAAACAAUGUUAUGCAGGGGUAAUAAAAAUUUCAUCUGUGGCCUGUUACCCAAACCUUUCAUUUGUUCUCUCUCUGCUAUCAAAAUGUAUGUAAAAAAAAAAUAAUUUAAACAAAAUUAAGCUCGUUGGCUCUUGGUAAAAUGUGCAUUUCUCAGCACUGUGGUUUUGCACAACAAUACAGAGAACACCUGAAACUUCUCAAAUUACUGUAUGCUGCUUAAUUUUUUUUAAACAUUAAGUAAUCCCACCUUGAACUUAUUAAUAUUUUUUAUAUUAUUUUAAGACCCAAGUGCUGCAUUUAUAUAGAGGAGAACAUUAUUUAUUUUCAUAUCAUUUAUCUGCAAGAUGCUACGAGAAAAUUUGGAGAGGCCAUUCAUUUUUCAAAAUAUUUUAAAAAAAACCCCAACCAUUGGAAGUGUAGUGGGCAAGACUGAUGUGUAAAUUCCAGCAUCAUUUUUUUUGUUUCCUAAUUCGCGGUAUCUUCAAUCUUUGUUUGCAUGAAAUGCUUUUGUUAAGUAUCAAUUGUAGUUUCAAAGCGAGUGUGUAUGAAUAAAAAUACUGAUCAU